CUCCUACGGGAGGCAGCAGUAGGGAAUCUUCGGCAAUGGGGGCAACCCUGACCGAGCAACGCCGCGUGAGUGAAGAAGGUUUUCGGAUCGUAAAGCUCUGUUGUAAGAGAAGAACGUGUGUGAGAGUGGAAAGUUCACACAGUGACGGUAACUUACCAGAAAGGGACGGCUAACUACGUGCCAGCAGCCGCGGUAAUACGUAGGUCCCGAGCGUUGUCCGGAUUUAUUGGGCGUAAGGCGAGCGCAGGCGGUUUAAUAAGUCUGAAGUUAAAGGCAGUGGCUUAACCAUUGUUCGCUUUGGAAACUGUUAGACUUGAGUGCAGAAGGGGAGAGUGGAAUUCCAUGUGUAGCGGUGAAAUGCGUAGAUAUAUGGAGGAACACCGGUGGCGAAAGCGGCUCUCUGGUCUGUAACUGACGCUGAGGCUCGAAAGCGUGGGGAGCAAACAGGAUUAGAUACCCUGGUAGUCCACGCCGUAAACGAUGAGUGCUAGGUGUUAGGCCCUUUCCGGGGCUUAGUGCCGCAGCUAACGC
rnacentral:rRNA from 1 species